UACGUAGGGUGCGAGCGUUAAUCGGAAUUACUGGGCGUAAAGCGUGCGCAGGCGGUUCGUUGUGUCGGUGGUGAAAUCCCCGGGCUUAACCUGGGAACUGCAUUGGUGACUGCAUUGCUGGAGUAUGGCAGAGGGGGGUGGAAUUCCACGUGUAGCAGUGAAAUGCGUAGAGAUGUGGAGGAACACCGAUGGCGAAGGCAGCCCCCUGGGCCAAUACUGACGCUCAUGCACGAAAGCGUGGGGAGCAAACAGG
rnacentral:rRNA from 1 species